AGUGAACGCUGGCGGUAGGCCUAACACAUGCAAGUCGAACGGCAGCACAGUAAUAGCUUGCUCUUACGGGUGGCGAGUGGCGGACGGGUGCGAAAUACAUCGGAAUCUACUUUUUCGAAGGGGAUGACGUAGGGAAACUUACGCUAAUACCCCAUACGACCUACGGGUGAAAGCAGGGGAUCUUCGGACCUCGCGUGAUUGAAUGAGCCGAUGUCGGAUUAGCUAGUUGGCGGGGUAAAGGCCCACCAAGGCGACGAUCCGUAGCUGGUCUGAGAGGAUGAUCAGCCACACUGGAACUGAGACACGGUCCAGACUCCUACGGGAGGCAGCAGUGGGGAAUAUUGGACAAUGGGCGCAAGCCUGAUCCAGCCAUGCCGCGUGGGUGAAGAAGGCCUUCGGGUUGUAAAGCCCUUUUGGUGGGAAAGAAAAGCAGCAGGUUAAUACCCCGCUGUUCUGACGGUACCCAAAGAAUAAGCACCGGCUAACUUCGUG
rnacentral:rRNA from 1 species